rnacentral:lncRNA from 10 species
GUUUUAAAAAUGUAAGUUUCUCUGCACAAGCUCUCUUUUUGCCUGCUGCCAUCCACGUAAGAUGUGACUUGCACCUCCUUGUCUUCUGCCACGAUUGUGAGGCUUCCCCAGCCAUGUGGAACUGCCCUGUUCAAAUGGUUACAAAGUUCAGCUAGAGAAUUCCUUCUCCCUGUAGAGUUUUACCCCCUGCUCCUCUGGCCGCCCUCCGGAUGGAUCUUUGUGUUGCCAGGCAGGAAUGGGCUGCUUGGGGACCCAGUGAGCUCCGAGGGCCUUUCUGCUGCUUCCUGUACCCCUGUAUUUCGCUCAGCUCUCUGACUUGACUCAGCUCCAGGAGGAAUCUGCAUAGAUUAGACGAAAAAGUUAAAAGGAGUAAUAUUCUUUCAUUAAUAUUACAUGCUUAUGGAACUUUACCUAUUGAUUAAAGGCAUCUACCCCUGGAGAAAGAGCCCAAUGAGAAGUAAUCUCUGAAGCCCAGAUUUCCUAAGGAUGAAGCUUCAGGAGAGGCCUUAUCAAUCCUGACAACAAACUUUUCUCGUCAAUUUAGUUUCAUUUAAUGGAAGUUUUAAAUGUGUAAAGUUCAGAAGGCUAUUAAAAUUGGUUCCAGCUAUCUAAGAUACACACACAACCACACACGCGCACACACGGUAGAGAUAAAUAUGUUCGAAAAUCCAGCUCAAUGUUACUAGAAAAUUUGAUCAGAAUCUGGUGAAAUAAAUAGUAAACUUACUAAAAAUGCCAAAUAUCCCAGAAGCUGCUUAACAUUUGAUCAAAAGCUCUGUCCAGUCAAUUCCUGCUUCUUUCAAAAAUACUCUGCUGAAAAGCCAAAGGAGAAAUGGGGCUGGUACCUUCAAUAUAGAGAAUUCCAAGUAAGAUUAGAUCCCAGAAGGCUUAGUGUGGCUUUCUAGGACUCUCACUAUUAGGCAGUAACCUACCAUUCACCUCUGUUUCCCAGAUUCACCUUGUUAUACCUUAUAACUUAAAAUAUAAAUUCCAACAAUGUACUGCACUCAAAAAAAUUAUUUCUCAAUUUGUUUGCUCAUACUAUUGAUUUUUUUCUAGAAUCUAAAUAAUUGUGAAUUAACUAUGAUAGCAGUAUGCACAAACAGUAAGUGAAAUCAGACCUAUUAAUUCUGAGAGGAAGGAGGUGUCAGGAUUUUCACAGAAGAAGAGCACUAAGGCCAGGCGCAGUGGCUCAUGCCUGUAAUCCCAGCACUUUGGGAGGCUGAGGCAGGCGGAUCAGGAGGUCAGGAGUUCUAGACCAGCCAGACAAACAUGGUGAAACCCCGUCUCUACUAAAAAUACAAAAAUUACACGCCUGUAAUCCCAGCUACUCAGGAGGCUGAGGCAGAAGAAUCGCUUAAACCCGGGAGGCGGAGGUUGCAGUGAGCUGAGAUCGCGCGACUGCACUCCAGCUUGGGCGACAGAGCAAGACUCCAUCAAAAAAAAAAAAAAAAAAAUACAAAUAUGCCUUCCCAAUCAUCUCCCAAAGUCUCAACUCAUUCCAGCGUUAACUCAAAGACCAAAAUUCAAAGUCUCAUCUGAAACAAGGUGUUGCCAAAGGAGAUUAUUAUUUGAGUCAGAGGACUGGGAGAAGCAGACCUACCCUCGAUCUGGGUGGGUGUCAUCUAGUCAGCUGCCAGUGUGGCUAGAAUGAAGCAGGCAGAAGUUGGAAAGAGCAGACCUGCUGAGUCUUCUGGCCCUCACCGUUCUCCCGUGCUGGAUUCUUCUGGCCCUCAAACAUCAGACUCCACGUUCUUCAGCUUUUGGACUCAUGGACUUACACCAGUGGUGUGCCAGGGCCUCUUGAGCCUUUGGUCACAGACUGAAGGCUACACUGUCAGCUUCUCUAAUUUUGAGGUUUUGGGACUCAGACUGAUCCACCACUGGCUUCCUUGCUCCUCAACUUGCAGAUGGCUUCUCACGGGACUUGACUUUAUGAUCAUGCUUGGCCAAUAAGAUGUUCCUGCCUAAGACUUUGAAUCUGGAAUGGGGAACACAGAGAACAUGAGCAACGAAGAAUUAUUCACAGCACAGCACAGCAGUGCUGACAGCAUCGACAGUCCUGUGGUGCCAGCAAGAAUCCAAAAGAAGUGUCCUACAUAAAUUCCCUUAAUCACUGACCAUUUAAUGAGGCUGAUUCAGCCUCAUACAAAUUUUGUAUGCUUCUUCAUACAAUUUUUAAUUGUGCUGUAAAAGUUAACCAGAGACAAUUUCUGUUGCUUGCACACAGUAAGUUGACUAAGCAAAAAAAUUCAGGAGAGAUUAUUUUAUAGAAGUCAAUGCAAAUGCAUUAAUUUACAAGAAGUGAAACUGCAAGUUCACUUUGCUGCCUUAUGGCCAGCAUAUUCUCUUACAAGGGAAGUCUAUAUGGCAAUCUGUGUUAUGAUCAGAAGAUUUGGGAAAGAUGGAAUCUGUGAGAGAGUUUUAUGACACACGGUUACAACUGAUCACAGGAUCAAACACUAAAACUCCAAUAUAUAUAUUUAUUCUUAUUAGCAAAGCUUUUAUGCUAUGGAGGAAAAAGAAAAAGAAAUAAGAAAUUCUGAGUUUCUCUAAACUUCCAGUAUGUGGAUGAGUUAAAAACUAUGUCAUCUUGGAUUCCCCAUUUUAAAUAUUUCAUAAUAAUGCAUUAUAAUUGGUACAUGUUAAUAUCAAUUUUUUCUUUUGCUGUUUUUGAAGUGGUGUGAAUCACCUGUAACAAGGUUUCCUUAUCAUCCAUUUAAUUAUUGUCCUAUAAUAUACUUUUCAAUACAGCAACUACUUUUUAUGUUUUGGGAUUACUUUUACUAUUGUUAGAUAAAACCUAUGGUUGAUUGUGUGCCUCUAGAAGAACUUCAAAAGUACAAUAUAAAUCUUGCUAACAAUA